rnacentral:rRNA from 1 species
UUGAACGCUGGCGGCAUGCCUUACACAUGCAAGUCGCACGGCAGCACGGGUGCUUGCACCUGGUGGCGAGUGGCGAACGGGUGAGUAAUACAUCGGAACAUGUCCUGUAGUGGGGGAUAGCCCGGCGAAAGCCGGAUUAAUACCGCAUACGAUCUACGGAUGAAAGCGGGGGACCUUCGGGCCUCGCGCUAUAGGGUUGGCCGAUGGCUGAUUAGCUAGUUGGUGGGGUAAAGGCCUACCAAGGCGACGAUCAGUAGCUGGUCUGAGAGGACGACCAGCCACACUGGGACUGAGACACGGCCCAGACUCCUACGGGAGGCAGCAGUGGGGAAUUUUGGACAAUGGGCGAAAGCCUGAUCCAGCAAUGCCGCGUGUGUGAAGAAGGCCUUCGGGUUGUAAAGCACUUUUGUCCGGAAAGAAAUCCUUGGCCCUAAUACGGUCGGGGGAUGACGGUACCGGAAGAAUAAGCACCGGCUAACUACGUG